AUUGAACGCUGGCGGCAGGCCUAACACAUGCAAGUCGAGCGGAUGACGGGAGCUUGCUCCUAGAUUCAGCGGCGGACGGGUGAGUAAUGCCUAGGAAUCUGCCUGGUAGUGGGGGACUACGCUUCCAAAGGACCGCUAAUACCGCAUACGUCCUACGGGCGAAAGCAGGGGACCUUCGGGCCUUGCGCUAUCAGAUGAGCCUAGGUCGGAUUAGCUAGUUGGUGGGGUAAUGGCUCACAAAGACGACGAUCCGUAACUGGUCUGAGAGGAUGAUCAGUCACACUGGAACUGAGACACGGUCCAGACUCCUACGGGAGGCAGCAGUGGGGAAUAUUGGACAAUGGGCGAAAGCCUGAUCCAGCCAUGCCGCGUGUGUGAAGAAGGUCUUCGGAUUGUAAAGCACUUUAAGUUGGGAGGAAGGGCAGUAAGUUAAUACCUUGCUGUUUUGACGUUACCGACAGAAUAAGCACCGGCUAACUCUGUGCCAGCAGCCGCGGUAA
rnacentral:rRNA from 1 species